rnacentral:rRNA from 2 species
UGGGGAAUUUUGCACAAUGGGGGAAACCCUGAUGCAGCGACGCCGCGUGAUUUAGAAGGCCUUCGGGUUGUAAAAAUCUUUUCUAUGGGAAGAAAAUGACAGUACCAUAGGAAUAAGGACCGGCUAAUUACGUGCCAGCAGCCGCGGUAAUACGUAAGGUCCGAGCGUUGUCCGGAAUCAUUGGGCGUAAAGGGUACGUAGGCGGGUAAGCAAGUUAGAAGUGAAAUCCUAUAGCUCAACUAUAGUAAGCUUUUAAAACUGCUCAUCUUGAGGUAUGGAAGGGAAAGUGGAAUUCCUAGUAUAGCGGUGAAAUGCGCAGAUAUUAGGAGGAAUACCGGUGGCGAAGGCGACUUUCUGGCCAUAACCUGACGCUGAGGUACGAAAGCGUGGGUAGCAAACAGG